UCAAACUUGGUCAUUUAGAGGAAGUAAAAGUCGUAACAAGGUCUCCGUUGGUGAACCAGCGGAGGGAUCAUUACCGAGUCUCGAACUCACCAAACCCCUGUGAACAUACCAGUGUUGCUUCGGCGGUAGACCCCUCCGCCCCCCCUUCCCGGGGGAGGCGCGGGGUUCCGCCAGAGGACCCUACAAACCCUCUGUUUUCUUAGAAAGGAUUCCGCUCUGAGUAACAAAAUGAAAACCAUUAAAACUUUCAACAACGGAUCUCUUGGCUCUGGCAUCGAUGAAGAACGCAGC
rnacentral:misc_RNA from 1 species